rnacentral:rRNA from 1 species
GACGUAGGGCGCGAGCGUUGUCCGGAUUUAUUGGGCGUAAAGAGCUCGUAGGCGGCUUGUCGCGUCGAAUGUGAAAACUUGGGGCUCAACUCCGGAUCUGCGGUGGGUACGGGCAGACUAGAGUGAUGUAGGGGAGACUGGAAUUCCUGGUGUAGCGGUGAAAUGCGCAGAUAUCAGGAGGAACACCGAUGGCGAAGGCAGGUCUCUGGGCAUUAACUGACGCUGAGGAGCGAAAGCAUGGGGAGCGAACAGG